rnacentral:ncRNA from 2 species
UUAAAUAAGCUUGCAUUUACUCAUAUAAUCACGAGAAUAAGGCUCGUAAGUUUCUACCAAGCUACCGUAAAUGGCUUGACUAUGGGUGAGCAAUGGGAUAUC